GGAGCCCACAUGGAGGGGGCUGGCACUCCGCCCACAUGGAGGGGGCGGGCACUCAGUCCACAUCGAGGGGGCGGCCACUCAGUUCACAUUGAGGACUGGUCAAACAGCAUCUUUCUUCUUUAGUUUCUGAUCCCGUUUCCGACCUGAAAUUAGCUGAAAUUUACCUGAAAUUAGAGUCUGCCCGCCCGAGCGAGUGAUGCCUAAAACAUGCAAAGACACGUCAGUGUAAUUGUGGAUGGCGAGAGCCCUGAAAUACAGCUGGACAGCAGCGGUCUUCAUCACUGCCCCUUCUGCAGAUACAAAGGGUCAAAAUGUGCUAUCGACUAUCACAUUAAAGGCCAUGCCUCGGUUAAAUACAGAGAGUUCACGAUCAUAAAGUGCGGUUUAGAUUGCAGGAAGAAGACGCACUUUCAUUGUUAUAAUUGUGCAAUAACAAUUAUAGACCGACAACAGAUAUUAAAGCACCUGGAAUCGCACAACACCCCAGAGGGCCCUCCAUUCACCCCAGUGGCCCCUCCAGAGAGACAUGUGGCCCCUCUAGUCACCCCAGUGGCGACUCCAGUUACCCCAGUGGCCCCUCCAGUCACCCCAGAGGCCCCUCCAGUCACCCCAGUGGCCCCUCCAGUCACCCCAGUGGCCCCUCCAGUCACCCCAGUGGCCCCUCCAGUGGCCCCUCCAGUCACCCCAGUUUUUAUUUUUAUAAACAUAAAUAUAAACCACUUCUCCUAAUUUACAGUACGCAAUGUACAUUGUCAUGGAUGGAAGGUGGGACUUUGCUGAGUCAAACAUGAAGCAAAUACGGCAAUGGUGGUGCCUUGUUCUUUUGAAGAACUUCCCCAUGCCGUAAGUGUCUUAGAUUGGGUUUAACGUUUCCUUUACAGUUCUGAAAUCUGUUUUAUUUCCAGACAAAACUGAAGACCAGGAACUGGAACCUGGGAACCUGGAAGAUGAUGUUGUCCUGAAGGACACAAUUCAGGCAGCAGCAUGGUGCCAAUUACAGUCCUUCAAGGACAGCGUUUCUCUCCCAGAGGUCAUUGGGAUGGAAGGUUGGGAGCAGAUGGCAGCAUCAACACAGCGCAAAUCCCAUGACGGCGGGGAUGAGGAAGAAACGUGGAAACCAUUCAAAUUCUCAUUCAGAUUACAUACUGACUAUGAACUGUUCUGUGUGGAGAUGAUGGACAGGAGAAACCUGAAGGUGUUUGCCUCUUUUGAGUCAAACAUCUCUCCCCGUCCCCCUCCCCGUGACGCCUGCGCCACACAACUCCAAUGUAGUCUGAUGAUGCAGCAUAAUGGCGGCGCUUGGCAGCUAUGGCGGCGGUGACGGCGAUGUCGGGCGACAGAGCGUGAAGCGAGAGUGGCGUCCACCUCACUGAGGAAGGCGUCAGUGUGUUCCCCCCCCCCCCCCCCCCCCGUUGAGACUUUGUUUGUUCUACUCUUUAUUGAUUUAUCUUUUAUGUUAAUAGUUUACAAUCUAUUUUUCGUAGCUGUUAUUUUUUAAUUGUUUCGUUGAAUAAAAAGACUGUUGUUAGUGCUCCUGUGAUUGGUGUAACUUAAUGUGCUUCACACAUGUAGCUUUUCAUUAUGUCUAUUGAGGUACAUUUUUUGCCCUUAGAUGUGGUCACUUCGUUAUUCCUCACAUUACAUCUGUUAAGGUCAUACCUUGGGGUCCCAGUCUUCAUAGUUCCCCAAAUCUUAUUUUGGCUCUUACUGGGCCUGUAACUCUCACAGACAGACGGGUACAGGAGUUCGCACACGUUGCAUUGUUACAGGCAAGGGUGGAUUACCGCACGGGCACACCGGGCACAUGCCCAGGGGCCCAAGGGCGGUGGGGGGCCCUAAGCCAGAGCUUCUGUGUGAAGUCGCUGUUAGUAACUUUUAAUGUGGCAUUGUCGAAACAAUCAGUAGAGAAAUACAAAAAUUCAAGUGAAAACAGCAAUAGUAGGCCUAUUAAUACUGAGUAAAAAAAAAAAAAAGAUCACUAGGGGGCACUAUUUCACUUAGUGAAUUUGAGACAGGUCACGAACAAGGCACUGUGAUUUAAACAUGGAGCAACGGCGAGCGGUUGUAACGUGAAC